rnacentral:rRNA from 1 species
UGGGGAAUAUUGGACAAUGGACCGAGAGUCUGAUCCAGCAAUUCUGUGUGCACGAUGAAGUUUUUCGGAAUGUAAAGUGCUUUCAGUUGGGAAGAAAAAAAUGACGGUACCAACAGAAGAAGUGACGGCUAAAUACGUGCCAGCAGCCGCGGUAAUACGUAUGUCACAAGCGUUAUCCGGAUUUAUUGGGCGUAAAGCGCGUCUAGGUGGUUAUGUAAGUCUGAUGUGAAAAUGCAGGGCUCAACUCUGUAUUGCGUUGGAAACUGUAUAACUAGAGUACUGGAGAGGUAAGCGGAACUACAAGUGUAGAGGUGAAAUUCGUAGAUAUUUGUAGGAAUGUCGAUGGGGAAGCCAGCUUACUGGACAGAUACUGACGCUAAAGCGCGAAAGCGUGGGUAACAAACAGG